rnacentral:rRNA from 1 species
AGUGAACGCUGGCGGUAGGCCUAACACAUGCAAGUCGAACGGCAGCACAGUAAGAGCUUGCUCUUACGGGUGGCGAGUGGCGGACGGGUGAGGAAUACAUCGGAAUCUACUUUUUCGUGGGGGAUAACGUAGGGAAACUUACGCUAAUACCGCAUACGACCUACGGGUGAAAGCAGGGGAUCUUCGGACCUUGCGCGAUUGAAUGAGCCGAUGUCGGAUUAGCUAGUUGGCGGGGUAAAGGCCCACCAAGGCGACGAUCCGUGGCUGGUCUGAGAGGAUGAUAAGCCACACUGGAACUGAGACACGGUCCAGACUCCUACGGGAGGCAGCAGUGGGGAAUAUUGGACAAUGGGCGCAAGCCUGAUCCAGCCAUACCGCGUGGGUGAAGAAGGCCUUCGGGUGGUAAAGCCCUUUUGUUGGGAAAGAAAAGCAGCAGGUUAAUACCCCGCUGUCCUGACGGUACCCAAAGAAUAGCACCGGCUAACUUCGUG